rnacentral:rRNA from 1 species
UUGAAAAGCCAGGGGAUGACUUGUGGAUCGGAGUGAAAGGCUAAUCAAGCCCGGAGAUAGCUGGUUCUCCCCGAAAGCUAUUUAGGUAGCGCCUCGGACGAAUACCACAGGGGGUAGAGCACUGUUUCGGCUAGGGGGUCAUCCCGACUUACCAACCCGAUGCAAACUCCGAAUACCUGUGAGUACUAUCCGGGAGACACACGGUGGGUGCUAACGUCCAUCGUGAAGAGGGAAACAACCCAGACCGCCAGCUAAGGUCCCCAAAUACCAGUUAAGUGGGAAACGAUGUGGGAAGGCUCAGACAGCUAGGAGGUUGGCUUAGAAGCAGCCAUCCUUUAAAGAAAGCGUAAUAGCUCACUAGUC